GCGAUUUUCAGAAAACAGAAACGAAACUCCCACCGCUGCAAGCUUUUCUCCGUCUGGACUCUACUUCUCCGUCCAUUAUCGUCUCCGUCUGCUUCCCGAAUCGUCAUCGUCCCCGUCGGACCAGUGCUUCUCUGCCGCCGCCACAUUGACGCCAGCCCAAAUCGUCUAGGUGCCAGACUUCUCCUUCGCGACCAGUGCCCCUUCUUCUCCGCGACCAGUGCCAAUCGGACUAGUGCUUCUCUG
rnacentral:lncRNA from 1 species